rnacentral:misc_RNA from 1 species
GAUGAAGAACGCAGCGAAACGCGAUACGUAAUGUGAAUUGCAGAAUUCAGUGAAUCAUCGAAUCUUUGAACGCACAUUGCGCCCAUUAGUAUUCUAGUGGGCAUGCCUGUUCGAGCGUCAUUAAGUCCACUUAAGCCCUGCUUAGUGUUGGGAGACUGCUCCAGCGGUGCUACCCUGUAGCUACCCUGCAGCUCCUCAAAGACAGCGGCGGAGUUGUGGUAUCCUCUGAGCUUAGUAACUUGUUCUAGCUUUCGAGUACACCACUUCCCCUGCCGUAAAACCCUUAAUUUUUAAUGGUUGACCUCGGAUCAGGUAGGAAUACCCGCUGAACUUAAGCAUAUCAAUAAGCGGAGGA